rnacentral:rRNA from 1 species
GAGUAAUGCGUGACCAACCUGCCCCAUGCUCCAGAAUAGCUCUUGGAAACGGGUGGUAAUGCUGGAUGCUCCAACUUGACGCAUGUCUUGUUGGGAAAGUGUUUAGUGGCAUGGGAUGGGGUCGCGUCCUAUCAUCUUGUAGGCGGGGUAAUGGCCCACCUAGGCUUCGACGGGUAGCCGGCCUGAGAGGGCGGACGGCCACAUUGGGACUGAGAUACGGCCCAGACUCCUACGGGAGGCAGCAGCCC